rnacentral:other from 1 species
GCAACGCGAGCCAGAACGGCUUGGUUUCUUUUGGAAUCAAUUGGCUUUGUCGUUGCGAUGUUGUGUUUGCAAACUCGUAUUUCGAGUUAGGUAGUUUUCUACCGAAGUGUUUUGUCUACUAUCCCAAAGACAAAACAGAUACUUCCUGUAUUUAUUUUGACCUGUCUGUCAAAUUUCUUGCACCGCCUUUUAGGCGGUGUUUUUUUUA